rnacentral:sRNA from 1 species
ACACUGAAAGGAGGUGAUCCUGGUUGAGUACCGUCAGGAUGUGUGAGGUGGCUGCUCGCUAGAGCCGCCCCUGCCUGUGCAGUUGAGGUCGUGAUCGGCCUCCGGCGGCAGGCGAUUCCCAAGCAGUCACCCGGCCCGUGGGCUCACCGGAACAUCCCCGGUGCCCUGGUGCCAGCAGCCCGGCGCCGGGCUCU